ACAACAGGGAUUGCCUUAGUAACGGCGAGUGAAGCGGCAACAGCUCAAAUUUGAAAUCUGGCCUUUUAGGUCCGAGUUGUAAUUUGGAGAGGAUGUUUCGGGUACGGUCCGGGCUUAAAUUUCUUGGAACAGAAUGUCACGGAGGGUGAGAAUCCCGUCUGGAGUUCGGACACGGCCUAUGUGAAGCUCCUUCGACGAGUCGAGUUGUUUGGGAAUGCAGCUCUAAAUGGGUGGUAAAUUUCAUCUAAAGCUAAAUAUUGGCCAGAGACCGAUAGCGCACAAGUAGAGUGAUCGAAAGAUGAAAAGCACUUUGAAAAGAGAGUUAAAAAGUACGUGAAAUUGUUGAAAGGGAAGCGCUGGCAACCAGACUUGCGCGUCGGGGUUCCCCCUUGCUUCUGCCUGGGUUACUCCCCGGCGUUCAGGCCAACAUCGGUUUCGGGGGUUGGUUAAAGGCCCUGGGAAUGUACCUACCCUCCGGGGUAGACUUAUAGCCCAGGGUGUCAUGCGACCUCCCGGGACCGAGGAACGCGCUUCGGCUCGGAUGUUGGCGUAAUGGUUGUCAGUGACCCGUCUG
rnacentral:rRNA from 1 species